rnacentral:rRNA from 1 species
AGUCACUGACAUUAGAUACCCGCGUAGUCCCAGCCGUAAACUAUGCGCGUUAGGUGUACUGGUGACCACGAGUCACCGGGGUGCCGAAGGGAAACCGUGAAACGUGCCGCCUGGGAAGUACGGUCGCAAGGCUGAAACUUAAAGGAAUUGGCGGGGGAGCACCGCAACGGGAGGAGCGUGCGGUUUAAUUGGAUUCAACACCGUAAAACUCACCAGGGAAGACUGUUACAUGAAGGCCGAGAUGAAGACUCUGCUAGAUUUUCAG